UACGGGGGGGCAAGCGUUGUUCGGAAUUACUGGGCGUAAAGGGCUCGUAGGCGGCCAACUAAGUCAGACGUGAAAUCCCUCGGCUUAACCGGGGAACUGCGUCUGAUACUGGAUGGCUUGAGGUUGGGAGAGGGAUGCGGAAUUCCAGGUGUAGCGGUGAAAUGCGUAGAUAUCUGGAGGAACACCGGUGGCGAAGGCGGCAUCCUGGACCAAUUCUGACGCUGAGGAGCGAAAGCCAGGGGAGCAAACGGGG
rnacentral:rRNA from 1 species